rnacentral:rRNA from 1 species
CACGUAGGGUGCGAGCGUUGUCCGGAAUUAUUGGGCGUAAAGAGCUCGUAGGCGGUCUGUCGCGUCGAUCGUGAAAACUUGGGGCUUAACCCUGAGCUUGCGGUCGAUACGGGCAUGACUGGAGUUCGGCAGGGGAGGCUGGAAUUCCUGGUGUAGCGGUGAAAUGCGCAGAUAUCAGGAGGAACACCGGUGGCGAAGGCGGGUCUCUGGGCCGAUACUGACGCUGAGGAGCGAAAGCGUGGGGAGCGAACAGG